rnacentral:rRNA from 1 species
GAUGAACGUUAGCGGGAGGCUUAAUACAUGCAAGUCGAGCGGUAAGUUUUUAUAGCAAUAUGAAGACCUAGAGCGGCGCACGGGUGAGUAACGCGUACACGACCUGGCCUAAACUGGGGGAUAGCCUUGGGAAACUGAGAGUAAUCCCGCAUGUGAUUAUGUUACUGAUGGUGAUAUAAUUAAAGCUUCGGCGGUUUAGGAUGGGUGUGCGUCUGAUUAGCUAGUUGGUAGUGUAACGGACUACCAAGGCGAUGAUCAGUAGGGGGCGUGAGAGCGUGACCCCCCACACGGGUACUGAGACACGGACCCGACUCCUACGGAGGCAGCAGUAAGGAAUAUUGGUCAAU